rnacentral:rRNA from 1 species
AUUCCUACGGGAGGCAGCAGUGGGGAAUAUUGCACAAUGGGCGCGAGCCUGAUGCAGCGACGCCGCGUGAGGGAUGACGGCCUUCGGGUUGUAAACCUCUUUCAGUAGGGAAGAAGCGAAAGUGACGGUACCUGCAGAAGAAGCACCGGCUAACUACGUGCCAGCAGCCGCGGUAAUACGUAGGGUGCGAGCGUUAUCCGGAAUUAUUGGGCGUAAAGAGCUCGUAGGCGGUUUGUCGCGUCUGUCGUGAAAGUCCGGGGCUUAACCCCGGAUCUGCGGUGGGUACGGGCAGACUAGAGUGCAGUAGGGGAGACUGGAAUUCCUGGUGUAGCGGUGGAAUGCGCAGAUAUCAGGAGGAACACCGACGGCGAAGGCAGGUCUCUGGGCUGUAACUGACGCUGAGGAGCGAAAGCAUGGGGAGCGAACAGGAUUAGAUACCCUGGUAGUCCAUGCCGUAAAC